GCAUCCCCAGACGCCCGAGUUCCCGCGGCUCAGCAGGACGCGGGAGGACGGUGCGCUGGAGAGAGGGCGCCAAAGGCGACGCGCCGGCGACCAGCUCCUGGCCGAGCCCCGGGGCCUGCAGGAACCCGCCCUUCCCCCCCAACCCCGCGCUGGCCGCUGAGCCUCGGGACCUGAGCCUGGAGAACUCGGCCCCAGGGCGCCGCCUAGAGGUCGGUCGCGGCCUCGGCCUUACUCCCCGGCGACCACAGAGCUGCCUGCGCCAGCUGCCGCCAGAAAUUACAAACAAAACAAAACAAAACUAAUUCCAAGCUUGGCCCGGAGGCUAGGCUUUUGGCACCUCUGACUUUUCCGAAACGGCCUCCCCUCUGCCCUAUAAGAAAGGACCUGUGUUCUGCGCUGCCUCUUAUGAUCUAAGCUGUCCAGCCCCCUCCAGUGGUGCUAGAACUGCUUUCUCUUCAAGGAAGAAGAGAAGCCAGAAGUCCCUGAAUCUUGCAGCUUGGCCAUCGAUUUUCUGACUAAUUUGGAGAUGGACGUGUUUUUGGAAGAGUAUUUGGAAAACCUUUUGGGGUGAAAAGAAGUUCCUCCGUGGCCUCUGCUCGCUGAGUAACCGAGCUCAGUGAUGCAUGAACACUGCUCUGGAAUUUGAAAGUUGGCUGCUCUGGGGCCAGGUGACCUUGAACAGAUACAGUGGGCACCUGUAGAAAGGGUCUGAGGGGUCUGUUGGCUCUGUGCAGACUUUAAAUUUUCAGACUGAGCAGUGGCCUGGGCUCUGGGGAUGAGGGCUGGGAAGGCGCAAAGCUCCUAAAAAUGCUCGCAAAGUGUGUGCGUGCGCACAGGUGUGUUGCACAAAAGCUGUGGUGUCUUCCAUUUUUCCAGAACCCCAGGGAGUGGCAGAGACCAAGCUGGUAAGGGCUGGGAGCCAGCACUGCCUCAGCCCCAUGCCAGGCGCCCCAGGAGGGGAUGGAGGUCAGCCCUGAUUAGCCUGGCAGCUGCUGACCCCUUCGGCCUCCCCUCUGGCUCCUCUCUGGCUCCCAGAAGCAGAUCCUAAUAUAAGUGACUGCAUUUUAAAAUUUAAAAAGUAUUGUAUGAUACACAGCAAAACUAGGGAAUUGGGAUAUGUAAGGUGGAGGAGAUCUGGAGGUCUCCCAGGCAAAUCCUGGAAUGUGAAUGUUGGAUGGGAAGAAACUGCUUCCUGUGCUCCCACUGCUAAGAGCUCCCCCUUCCUCGCUCUUGGUGCCAGGAAGGGGGCGAGGGCACCCCCUCCACCACCACAGCACUGCUACCUCCCGGCCAGGCUGGGGCCGAGCAGGACAGCACACUUAGCCUUCCAGAAAAAUUCAAAAGUGCUAGGACACAGCCUGGUGUUUUC